UGGGGGAUAUUGCACAAUGGAGGAAACUCUGAUGCAGCGACGCCGCGUGAGUGAAGAAGUAUUUCGGUAUGUAAAGCUCUAUCAGCAGGGAAGAUAAUGACAGUACCUGACUAAGAAGCCCCGGCUAACUACGUGCCAGCAGCCGCGGUAAUACGUAGGGGGCAAGCGUUAUCCGGAUUUACUGGGUGUAAAGGGAGCGUAGACGGAACGGCAAGUUUGAAGUGAAAUACCCGGGCUUAACUCGGGAACUGCUUUGAAAACUGUCGAUCUAGAGUGUCGGAGAGGUAAGUGGAAUUCCUGGUGUAGUAGUGAAAUGCGUAGAUAUCAGGAAGAACACCGGAGGCGAAGGCGGCUUACUGGACGAUAACUGACGUUGAGGCUCGAAAGCGUGGGGAGCAAA
rnacentral:rRNA from 1 species